UCCGGCAUGGUCUAGUGGUUAGGAUACCUGGCUCUCACCCAGGAGGCUCGGGUUCGAUUCCCGGUGUCGGAA
rnacentral:tRNA from 1 species